UACGUAGGGGGCAAGCGUUAUCCGGAUUUACUGGGUGUAAAGGGAGCGUAGACGGCCAUUCAAGACAGAUGUGAAAGCCCGGGGCUCAACCCCGGGACUGCAUUUGGAACUGUAUGGCUGGAGUGUCGGAGAGGCAGGCGGAAUUCCUAGUGUAGCGGUGAAAUGCGUAGAUAUUAGGAGGAACACCAGUGGCGAAGGCGGCCUGCUGGACGAUGACUGACGUUGAGGCUCGAAAGCGUGGGGAGCAAGCAGG
rnacentral:rRNA from 1 species